rnacentral:rRNA from 1 species
GAUGAACGCUGGCGGCGUGCCUAAUACAUGCAAGUCGAGCGAACAGACGAGGAGCUUGCUCCUCUGACGUUAGCGGCGGACGGGUGAGUAACACGUGGAUAACCUACCUAUAAGACUGGGAUAACUUCGGGAAACCGGAGCUAAUACCGGAUAAUAUAUUGAACCGCAUGGUUCAAUAGUGAAAGACGGUUUUGCUGUCACUUAUAGAUGGAUCCGCGCCGCAUUAGCUAGUUGGUAAGGUAACGGCUUACCAAGGCAGCGAUGCGUAGCCGACCUGAGAGGGUGAUCGGCCACACUGGAACGGAGACACGGUCCAGACUCCUACGGGAGGCAGCAGUAGGGAAUCUUCCGCAAUGGGCGAAAGCCUGACGGAGCAACGCCGCGUGAGUGAUGAAGGUCUUCGGAUCGUAAAACUCUGUUAUUAGGGAAGAACAAAUGUGUAAGUAACUAUGCACGUCUUGACGGUACCUAAUCAGAAAGCCACGGCUAACUACGUG